rnacentral:tRNA from 1 species
UCGGUAGACGCUACGGACUUAAAAUCCGUCGACUUUAGAAAUCGUGAGGGUUCAAGUCCCUCUA